GGAAUCCUACGGGGGGCAGCAAUGGGGAAUAUUGCACAAUGGGGGAAACCCUGAUGCAGCAACGCCACGUGAGUGAAGAAGUAUUUCGGCAUGUAAAGCUCUAUCAGCAGGGAAGAAAAUGACAGUACCUGACUAAGAAGCCCCGGCUAACUACGUGCCAGCAGCCGCGGUAAUACGUAGGGGGCAAGCGUUAUCCGGAUUUACUGGGUGUAAAGGGAGCGUAGACGGCUGCGCAAGUCAGAAGUGAAAGCCCGGGGCUCAACCGCGGGACUGCUUUUGAAACUGUAUAGCUAGAGUGCAGGAGA
rnacentral:rRNA from 1 species